rnacentral:antisense_RNA from 1 species
UGCUCCUCCAAAGCCAGAGCCCAAACCUAAAAAGGCCCCUGCAAAGAAGGGAGAGAAAGUACCAAAAGGGAAAAGGGAAAAGCUGAGGCUGGCCAGGAGGGGAAUAACCCUGCAGAAAAUGGAGAUGCUCAAACAGACCGGACACAGAAAGCUGAAGGUGCUGCAGAUGCCAAGGGAAAAUUAGACCUUUACAAGAAGCACAGUUUUGUCUUCAGUUUCCUCUCCCCCCACCUGGAAUGGCCUGAGCCGAAGCCAGCUCCCUCCGAGAAGUCAUUACCGCCUGACUUGCGUUUGAUAUUUAGACACCUUGGUCACAACAUCUUGCGUUCUCUCAGGAUGCUCAGGCAGGGGAUCCCUGCUCUUCUGUAUUAAUGCUGGCUCUCCGUCCCCUGUCCACCAUGAGUCAAAGCAACAUGAGUCCCUUACCAGAUGCAACUGCCCAGUCUUGGACUUUCCAGUGACCAGAAUCAUGAGCCAAAUAAACCUCUUUUCUUUAUG